ACGCAGAAGACGGGUGAUUUCUGCAUUUCCAUCUGAGAUGGAGUGAAUAUGAUGAUUCUGUGAAGGUUUAUUGCAACAUGACUUUUUCAGCACAGCAACAGGAAAAUUUGACUCUGGGUCUGUUCUACAAAAUUAAAGCUUUCUCAGCACAAAAAACAGCAUAGACUGUGAGUGAUGGCGGCCAUCUUGGUUCAUGUGUAAAGACUGAAUUUCAGUGACUACCAACGGCUAUUUCUUAGAAUGUGGCACUUACCCUGGGUUCAGGCUGUGGUCCUUCUACUGCCCAUGAAUGAAUUGCUCCAUCUGAACAUUCGGGAACAGGCUCAAAGCCAGCUGCACUACGAGGAGCACCUCCACAAUCACAACAGAUCAUCAAAAAUGGGACCACUGGUGGUGGAGGGAUAGUAAUACUAGAGUUAGCACUGGGUGCAAAUAAAAAACAAAACAACCUGA
ensembl:lncRNA DSG1-AS1 DSG1 antisense RNA 1